rnacentral:rRNA from 1 species
AACGAACGCUGGCGGCAGGCCUAACACAUGCAAGUCGAGCGCUGUAGCAAUACAGAGUGGCAGACGGGUGAGUAACGCGUGGGAACAUGCCCUUCGGUUCGGAAUAACUCAGGGAAACUUGAGCUAAUACCGGAUACGCCCUUAGGGGGAAAGAUUUAUUGCCGAAGGAUUGGCCCGCGUCCGAUUAGCUAGUUGGUGAGGUAAUGGCUCACCAAGGCGACGAUCGGUAGCUGGUCUGAGAGGAUGCUCAGCCACACUGGGACUGAGACACGGCCCAGACUCCUACGGGAGGCAGCAGUGGGGAAUAUUGGACAAUGGGCGCAAGCCUGAACCAGCCAUGCCGCGUGAGUGAUGAAGGCCCUAGGGUUGUAAAGCUCUUUCGCCAGGGACGAUAAUGACGGUACCUGGAUAAGAAGCCCCGGCUAACUUCGUGCCAGCCGCCGCCGUAA